CCCUUUCCGGUUGAUCCUGGCGGAGGCCACUGCUAUCGGAGUUCGAUUAAGCCAUGCGAGUCGAGAGGUGUGAGACCUCGGCAUACUGCUCAGUAACACGUGGACAACCUACCCUAAGGAGGGGGAUAACCCCGGGAAACUGGGGAUAAUACCCCAUAGACUAUGGAUGCUGGAAUGCUUUGUAGUUGAAAGGUCCGCCGCUUCAGGAUGGGUCUGCGGCCGAUUAGGUUGUUGUUGGGGUAACGGCCCAACAAGCCUGUAAUCGGUACGGGUUGUGGGAGCAAGAGCCCGGAGAUGGAUUCUGAGACACGAAUCCAGGCCCUACGGGGCGCAGCAGGCGCGAAAACUUUACAAUGCGAGCAAUCGUGAUAAGGGAACUCCGAGUGCCCGUAAAAUCGGGCUGUCCGCCAGUGUAAAUAACUGGUGAAGAAAGGGCCGGGCAAGACCGGUGCCAGCCGCCGCGGUAAUACCGGCGGCUCGAGUGGUGGCCACUAUUACUGGGCUUAAAGCGUUCGUAGCUGGUCUGUUAAGUCUCUGGGGAAAUCUUCCGGCUUAACCGGAAGGCGUCUCAGGGAUACUGGCAGACUAGGGACCGGAAGAGGUGAGAGGUACUCCAGGGGUAGGAGUGAAAUCCUGUAAUCCUUGGGGGACCACCUGUGGCGAAGGCGUCUCACCAGAACGGCUCCGACAGUGAGGAACGAAAGCUGGGGGAGCAAACCGGAUUAGAUACCCGGGUAGUCCCAGCUGUAAACGAUGCGCGUUAGGUGUAUCGGUGACCACGAGUCACCGAGGUGCCGAAGAGAAAUCGUGAAACGUGCCGCCUGGGAAGUACGGUCGCAAGGCUGAAACUUAAAGGAAUUGGCGGGGGAGCACCACAACGGGUGGAGCCUGCGGUUUAAUCGGACUCAACGCCGGGAAACUCACCGGACAAGACAGCUGAAUGAUAGUCGGGCUGAAGACUCUACUUGACUAGCUGAGAGGAGGUGCAUGGCCGUCGUCAGUUCGUACUGUGAAGCAUCCUGUUAAGUCAGGCAACGAGCGAGACCCAAA
rnacentral:rRNA from 1 species